rfam:Coccomyxa subellipsoidea C-169, whole genome shotgun sequence.
GUGCUCGUAACUCAAUUGGAUAGAGUGUCAGAUUACGGCUCUGGAAGUUGAAAGUUCAAAUUAUUCCGGGCAUG